GAAGAAGAAAAAAGUAUGAUGGAAAAAAAACGAAGUUUUAGACCACAAAUACUCCAUCAGGUCUGACAUCAGCAUCAGGACCAGCAGAGCCGACAUGAUGCAGGGAGGAUAAAAGACACAGACCUCCCUGUUGGCGGGCAAGUCCAUGUCUGUUUACGCCUGAAACGCUCCGCAUACCUGCUGCUGUCACCGCACCAACCGGUUUCUGGGAGACCAAGCUGAGCAGAGAAUGGCAGGAAGGGAGGAGGG